rnacentral:rRNA from 1 species
GUGGGGAAUCUUCCGCAAUGGACGAAAGUCUGACGGAGCAACGCCGCGUGAGUGAUGAAGGUCUUCGGAUUGUAAAGCUCUGUUAAUCGGGACGAAAGAGCCUAGUGUGAAUAAUGCUAGGAAGUGACGGUACCGGAAUAGAAAGCCACGGCUAACUACGUGCCAGCAGCCGCGGUAAUACGUAGGUGGCAAGCGUUGUCCGGAAUUAUUGGGCGUAAAGCGCGCGCAGGCGGAUCUGCCAGUCUGUCUUAAAAGUUCGGGGCUUAACCCCGUGAUGGAAUGGAAACUACAGAUCUAGAGUAUCGGAGAGGAAAGUGGAAUUCCUAGUGUAGCGGUGAAAUGCGUAGAUAUUAGGAAGAACACCAGUGGCGAAGGCGACUUUCUGGACGAAAACUGACGCUGAGGCGCGAAAGCCAGGGGAGCGAACGGGAUUACAAACCCUUGUAGUCC